rnacentral:rRNA from 1 species
AGUGAACGCUGGCGGUAGGCCUAACACAUGCAAGUCGAACGGCAGCACAGUAAGAGCUUGCUCUUACGGGUGGCGAGUGGCGGACGGGUGAGGAAUACAUCGGAAUCUACUUUUUCGUGGGGGAUAACGUAGGGAAACUUACGCUAAUACCGCAUACGACCUACGGGUGAAAGCAGGGGAUCUUCGGACCUUGCGCGAUUGAAUGAGCCGAUGUCGGAUUAGCUAGUUGGCGGGGUAAAGGCCCACCAAGGCGACGAUCCGUAGCUGGUCUGAGAGGAUGAUCAGGCACACCGGAACUGAGACACGGUCCAGACCCCUACGGGAGGCCGCCGUGGGGAAUAUUUGACAAUGGGCGGAAGCCUGAUCCAGCCCUUCCGCGUGGGUGAAGAAGGCCUUCGGGUUGUAAAGCCCUUUUGUUGGGAAAGAAAAGCAGCAGGUUAAUACCCCGCUGUUCUGACGGUACCCAAAGAAUAAGCACCGGCUAACUUCGUG